GACAUCACAGCCUUCUCCAUCGUGGAGGUGGAUAAGCCAUCACUGUCAACCUCAACGGCUGCGGAAGCACAACGUUUGCUUUCUGGUCACGGUGUGGCCCAAUCUGCCCUUCGGCACGCGCCUCGACCGGCGCCAGCCCUUUGUGGAGCAGACAGGCCUGGCCUACGUGAGUGGCUGCGAGGUGCAGGGCAUGCUGGACGACAAGGACCGCGUCAUCGAGGAAGAAAUACCAUCCAGUUUACACCAACUCAGAUUGAGGCCAUCCAUGCUGGGAUGCAGCCUGAACCCACUAUGGUAAACUAUGGAUGGAUGUGGUAUAUGGUGUGUUCUGGUAUGGGCGUGUGCACGACGUACUGGCCAGGAGGCUGGAGCUGCUCAGAGACGUGGGCAGUCUGCAAGAGAGUCUGGACCUACACCUGUGAGACCGACAGACACUUCUACCUCUACCAGGUGAUGUCUCACUGGGAAGAGUACAUUUCCAAGGUCAGGUCUAAGCAGGGUGAAGGCCGAAGCCAUGGCCACACACUUCCCCUUCCACAAGUACUUCUCCAACGCCCCCCCAGCCUGUGUUCCACGGUCGCUCCUAUGAUGAGGACAUGGACUUCGUUGAGGGUUGCUACCAACAACCCACAUCAAGAAGAGAUUUACCCAGCUGGAGGCAGGCCACACACACACACACACACACACACACACACACACACACAUACACACACACACACAUCACAUCACAUGUUUACCUAGCUAAAGGGACAUACACCAUGAAGAUCCUCACUCUGUCAGAGAUAAACAUGUCACAAACAAACAGGCUCUUGAACAAACACACACAUACCAUAUUCAUCCCAGUCAGAGGUUAAUUAUGUCACACACACACCAUGUCAGCAGUUCCGAUGUUGCUCACGGGUCGUUAGCCAUCUUUGUGUGUGUGGUGAAGUGGGAGUUGGAACGCUGAACACACGUGAUUCUCUUUCCACAACUGAUGCCAUGACAGGUCUGCCCAGGCUCUCUCUCCCACUCCUACCGGAGAAGUAGCCACUGUGACAUCGCACUGCAUCACAUUUCAACAGUUUGUUUUGUGUUUCUGUUGUGAUAUUAGGAGUUUGUAAUAUGAUGGGGAUAUAGUGAGUUUCUUCCUUUUCAUUCUUUUCCACCCUCUUUGUUAAAUCUCUCUUUCACACACUCACUCACUCACUCACUCAUUCCCUCUGUUUGAGUGUGUUCUGUGAGACAUUGGUUGGAAUUACAUGGUGAUUUGGUGACAUGUCACCCUGUGCCC
ensembl:lncRNA